rnacentral:rRNA from 1 species
UACGUAGGGGGCAAGCGUUGUCCGGAAUCAUUGGGCGUAAAGAGCGUGUAGGCGGCCUGGUAAGUCCGCUGUGAAAGUCCAGGGCUCAACCCUGGAAUGCCGGUGGAAACUGUCAGGCUCGAGUCCGGAAGAGGCGAGUGGAAUUCCUGGUGUAGCGGUGAAAUGCGCAGAUAUCAGGAGGAACACCGGUGGCGAAGGCGGUGGUCUGGGCCAGUACUGACGCUGAGGAGCGAAAGCGUGGGGAGCGAACAGG